UACAGAGGUGGCAAGCGUUGUUCGGAAUUACUGGGCGUAAAGCGCACGUAGGCGGAUUGCUAAGUCAGGGGUGAAAUCCUGGAGCUCAACUCCAGAACUGCCUUUGAUACUGGCGAUCUCGAGUCCGGGAGAGGUGAGUGGAACUGCGAGUGUAGAGGUGAAAUUCGUAGAUAUUCGCAAGAACACCAGUGGCGAAGGCGGCUCACUGGCCCGGUACUGACGCUGAGGUGCGAAAGCGUGGGGAGCAAACAGG
rnacentral:rRNA from 1 species